UACGUAGGUGGCAAGCGUUGUCCGGAUUUAUUGGGUUUAAAGGGUGCGUAGGCGGUCUAUUAAGUCAGUGCUGAAAUAUCCCGGCUUAACCGGGAGGGUGGCAUUGAUACUGAUGGACUUGAGUAAAGUUGAGGUUGGCGGAAUUGACGGUGUAGCGGUGAAAUGCUUAGAUAUCGUCAAGAACACCUAUUGCGAAGGCAGCUAACUAGCGUAAACUGACGCUGAGGCACGAAAAGUGUGGGGGAGUCAAA
rnacentral:rRNA from 1 species